rnacentral:rRNA from 1 species
ACGUAGGGCGCAAGCGUUGUCCGGAAUUAUUGGGCGUAAAGAGCUCGUAGGCGGUUUGUCGCGUCUGCUGUGAAAACCUAAGGCUCAACCUUGGGCUUGCAGUGGGUACGGGCAGACUAGAGUGCGGUAGGGGUGACUGGAGUUCCUGGUGUAGCGGUGGAAUGCGCAGAUAUCAGGAGGAACACCGAUGGCGAAGGCAGGUCACUGGGCCGCAACUGACGCUGAGGAGCGAAAGCAUGGGGAGCGAACAGGAUUAGAUACCCUGGUAGUCCAUGCCGUAAACGUUGGGCACUAGGUGUGGGGCUCAUUCCGCGAGUUCCGUGCCGCAGCAAACGCAUUAAGUGCCCCGCCUGGGGAGUACGGCCGCAAGGCUA